AGUGAACGCUGGCGGUAGGCCUAACACAUGCAAGUCGAGCGGAAGAACGGUGCUUGCUUGCUCUUACAGGUGCCGAGGGGCGGGCGGUUCCGAGGUACCUCGCAGUCUACUGUUUAUCGGGUGAUAAAGUGGGGGCUCUUACGCCAAUAGUGCAUACGAAGUAAGGGUGGAAGCAGGGGAUCUUAGGCCCUUACAUGAGUCUAGGUCGGAUUAGCUAGUUGGUGGGGUAAAGGCCUACCAAGGCGACGAUCCGUAACUGGUCUGAGAGGAUGAUCAGUCACACUGGAACUGAGACACGGUCCAGACUCCUACGGGAGGCAGCAGUGGGGAAUAUUGGACAAUGGGCGAAAGCCUGAUCCAGCCAUGCCGCGUGUGUGAAGAAGGUCUUCGGAUUGUAAAGCACUUUUAGUUGGGAGGAAGGGCAGUAAGUUAAUACCUUGCUGUUUUGACGUUACCAAAAGAAUAAGCACCGGCUAACUUCGUG
rnacentral:rRNA from 1 species